rnacentral:rRNA from 1 species
AGCACAGUAAGAGCUUGCUCUUAUGGGUGGCGAGUGGCGGACGGGUGAGGAAUACAUCGGAAUCUACCUUUUCGUGGGGGAUAACGUAGGGAAACUUACGCUAAUACCGCAUACGACCUUCGGGUGAAAGCAGGGGACCUUCGGGCCUUGCGCGGAUAGAUGAGCCGAUGUCGGAUUAGCUAGUUGGCGGGGUAAAGGCCCACCAAGGCGACGAUCCGUAGCUGGUCUGAGAGGAUGAUCAGCCACACUGGAACUGAGACACGGUCCAGACUCCUACGGGAGGCAGCAGUGGGGAAUAUUGGACAAUGGGCGCAAGCCUGAUCCAGCCAUACCGCGUGGGUGAAGAAGGCCUUCGGGUUGUAAAGCCCUUUUGUUGGGAAAGAAAAGCAGUCGAUUAAUACUCGGUUGUUCUGACGGUACCCAAAGAAUAAGCACCGGCUAACUUCGUGCCAGCAGCCGCGGUAAUACGAAGGGUGCAAGCGUUACUCGGAAUUACUGGGCGUAAAGCGUGCGUAGGUGGUUGUUUAAGUCUGUUGUGAAAGCCCUGGGCUCAACCUGGGAAUUGCAGUGGAUACUGGGCGACUAGAGUGUGGUAGAGGGUAGUGGAAUUCCCGGUGUAGCAGUGAAAUGCGUAGAGAUCGGGAGGAACAUCCAUGGCGAAGGCAGCUACCUGGACCAACACUGACACUGAG